AUCAAUGACUCGGGGUGCCGUCUCUUCAUCAGAGACCGGCUGAGAAUUACCCGUUGAACCUGAACUGGAUAAUGCCAGCGUAGCCAUGGCAAUUAUUCAGAUU
rnacentral:ncRNA from 1 species